rnacentral:rRNA from 1 species
GACGAACGCUGGCGGCGUGGAUUAGGCAUGCAAGUCGAACGGUAUCAUCCUUUCGGGGGUGAGAGAGUGGCGAACUGGUGAGUAACACGUAGGUUAUCUACCCUCAAGACGGGGACAACCCAGGGAAACUUGGGCUAAUACCGGAUGUGAGCAACUUUUAGUUGUUUGAAAGGUGGCGUAAGCUGUCGCUUGGGGAUGAGCCUGCGUCCUAUUAGUUAGUUGGUGAGGUAACGGCUCACCUAGGCAAUGAUAGGUAGGCGGCCUUAACGGGUGGUCGCCCACACUGGGAUUGAGAUACGGCCCAGACUCCUACGGGAGGCAGCAGUCGAGAAUAGUCUACAAUGGUCGGAAGACUGAUAGUGCGACGCCGCGUGAACGAUGAAUCCCUUCGGGGUGUAAAGUUCUUUUAUAUGUGAGCAGUGCUUCUUAUAUUAACAGUAUGGGGAAGAGAUAUUAGCAUAUGAAUAAGCAACGGCUAACUCCGUGCCAGCAGCCGACGGUAAAA